UCCCCCAUCCCCUCCAGGUGACUGCAGCGCUGGCUCAAGUUUGAGAACCACUGCUCUGCAGUCCAGAACAUCUUCCUGGGAAUUAGCUGGGAUGCAAAACCAUGUUGCCAUCUGAUCUCAUCACACUUCUGCCAAGAGGUGAAAUCUAAGAGUCCACGUUCUUGAUGCCUGACAUCUUCUUCAGGUCACUUACCUGAGAACACCUGAGGACACUGAGACCCCGGAUAUUUUUUCCCUGACUCAACUAUGCUUCCCUCAGCAACUCAGAGAAGUGUUGGCCAACCGAACACAAAGAAGCAAAGAAAGUAGAAAAGCGAUGUAAUCUGAAGCCACAUUGAGUCUGAGUCCAAGAAAUUGUGAUGGAAAAACACUAAGGCUCCUCACCUUGACUGUGACAAAGCUUGGGAGGGUGAAAUGGGAUGUGUGAACUUUCUGAAAACUGUCGACACUAUACAGUUCUUUGGCAAAAGGGCUGCUUGUAGUUAGCAACUUACUCCCGGAG
rnacentral:lncRNA from 1 species